rnacentral:lncRNA from 1 species
GAAGGGAUUGGACCCCUCUGUGCUAGCUAGAUUUAUAUCAACUUGGCACCAACUAUAGUCAUAUGAGUCUACUAAGAAAAUGACUCCAUAAAAUUGAACACAGGUCCUAUGGAAGAGCAGCUGGUGCUCUUAACCAAUGACCCAUCUCUCAAGGUCCAAAAAAUUAGAAUUUAAGAAACAAAAUCAAAGUCAAGAUGUAAACAGUAGGAAUAUUCUUGAGGUGGUGACUUUGUUGCCUGAGAUAACAGUUCUCUCCAUACUAAUGCACUUCUGACAUCAUGCUCAUCAAAAUCCCAGCCAUUUAUUUUUCUAUAAACCUUUAUUAGUGUUCAUGCUAAUUACAAAGGCAAAGUAAGAUAUAUUGCCACUCUUAUAAGAAGUGACAAAUAGACAAACAAAACAGAAUUAAAGUCCCAAAGUGCAUGUGCAUGAAUGGGAAAGACAGCAAGAGAGAGAGACAGACAGACAGACAGAGAGACAGAGACACAAAGAGAAAGAAAAAAAAUAUAUAUAUAGAGGGAGAUCUGAUAAAGACACCAUCAAAAAACAAGGCCAGAAUACCUUGAGGGUAAUGAGAGAAAUGUCCAAAAAUAAUGGAUCUGGGUCAGUUAGAUACCAGUUGUGACUGUUAAUCUUGAUUGUCAGCUUGACUAGAGUUGGCAUCUUCUGAGAAGCAGACCUGGAGAGCGAGCCAGUGAGAGCACUUCCAGUAAGAAUAGACAGAUGGGAGAGUACCCAACUCCAGAGAGGAUAGCAUCUUGCCAUGGUGGCCCAGAUGGGGAAAGACUGAAGAAAACUCAAUGUUGCUUGCCUGCCUAUGUUUCUUUAUUGGUGGUGAAUGUGCAUAGCCAGUCUGUAUUACCUGUGCUGCCACUCCUCACUGACAUUACAACCCUGCUUCACCUUCCCAUAUGGACUGAAGAGCAUGGCUCUCUAGGAAUCCUCCAGGCCCUUACUCCCAGGAUUAAGACUAUGAAAGAUUCAUGGACUGCGCAG